UACGUAGGGUCCAAGCGUUGUCUGGAUUUAUUGGGCGUAAAGAGCUCGUAGGCGGCUCAGUAAGUCGGAUGUGAAAGCCCCGGGCUCAACCUGGGAAUUGCAUUCGAGACUGAAUAGCUAGGGUGCGGUAGGGGGAAGCGGAAUUUCCGGUGUAGCGGUGAAAUGCGUAGAUAUCGGAAGGAACAUCAGUGGCGAAAGCGACUUCCUGGACCAAUACUGACGCUCAUGUGCGAAAGCGUGGGGAGCAAACAGG
rnacentral:rRNA from 1 species